GGGUAUCCGGUUGUAGGCAUGAAAGAGGAAAGAAACUGCUUUAGUUGCUCAAUUCUAGCAAGUAGGUAGUGUCACAGAAAUGCGUAUUCGCACGACCAUAAAGUCGUGCAUUAAAUAAAUACAAAUUCGCGCUUAUUUAAGCAGUUCCCGCGCUUAAAUGUUGCUUUAAAAUAAAUGCAACUUGUACAAAAACGUUAAAUUAUCCCUGCGUGACUAGGCGAGCAUCUCUAAAAGGUGGUCACGUGACCAGAAGCUUCCGCGAAGCAGCUCGCGGUCUGACACAUCAACAAACUGAGCUGUACAGCUUCUCUCAGCAUAAUUUAAGCUUCAAAUCAUCUCAUAGCUUAACUAAAACCUCUAUAUCUAGCGCUAAAUAUAAUGUACUUGCUGUCUAGGAGCUCAAAAGUGCGUUUUCGUCCGUUCUGCGAACAGCGACACCUGCCUCUCUGAAGUAGAAACCGAAUACCUCAGCGUUGAUUCAGCAGAAUAGAUGACAGGGUACAGCUUCGAUCGGGGAAUAUCUGCAAUCAUCACAUAGUCCUC